rnacentral:piRNA from 1 species
UGGUGGCAAGCCUUUUGUUGUCUGACCUGGGU